GCCCAACUAGCUCAGUCGGUAGAGCAUGGAACUCUUAAUAGCAGGGUCGUGGGUUCAUGUCCCANGUUAGGUG
rnacentral:tRNA from 1 species